rnacentral:rRNA from 1 species
CCUACGGGCGGCAGCAGUGAGGAAUAUUGGUCAAUGGACGAGAGUCUGAACCAGCCAAGUAGCGUGAAGGAUGACUGCCCUAUGGGUUGUAAACUUCUUUUAUAUGGGAAUAAAACGUUCCACGUGUGGGAUUUUGUAUGUACCAUAUGAAUAAGGAUCGGCUAACUCCGUGCCAGCAGCCGCGGUAAGACGGAGGAUCCGAGCGUUAUCCGGAUUUAUUGGGUUUAAAGGGAGCGUAGGUGGAUUGUUAAGUCAGUUGUGAAAGUUUGCGGCUCAACCGUAAAAUUGCAGUUGAAACUGGCAGUCUUGAGUACAGUAGAGGUGGGCGGAAUUCGUGGUGUAGCGGUGAAAUGCUUAGAUAUCACGAAGAACUCCGAUUGCGAAGGCAGUUCACUGGACUGCAACUGACACUGAGGCUCGAAAGUGUGGGUAUCAAACAGGAUUAGAUACCCCGGUAGUC